AAAAUAUAUCACAGAGGAUUGUGAAAUCAAGCCUGGAAUAUCCAAAAAUCUAACAAUUGCCUUUCCAUGUUCAGAAUUGAAUCAAUUAUUUAAACGAAGCAACAACAUAAAUAAAAUACAAACAUAUUAUUAUGGAGGUAAGAAUAAAGUAACAGGGCUGUGAGUUACUGAUAUGCAACAAACCUCUUCAUUGGCCACUUACAUUUCUCGCACGUGACAACUUUCAUCGUCAACGCUUCUUCAAACGGAACAACCGCCGUGUGACUCAGUUCACACGGCUUCUCCGCCGCAAUCUCAAUCGCCUCCGUAAAACCCAACCCCUUCGCAUACUCUCCCCACCGCACAAUCUUUCUCAUCCUCUCCGUCAUCUUCUCUCCAUCAACCGUCUCCGCAGUUGAUCCAUUCCCAAUGAUUCCCCAACCUCUAUGUUUCCCGUAAUCGAAGUCGAGAAGGUUCCUAACUUCUUCAAAAACACGAUCAGGUUUCGAUGGUUCAAUUACAAUCCGCUUGAGUUUUGAUCUUUCGAUGCUUUCUAAUCGGAGCCAGAAGAGCUGUUGCAAUGUAGGACUGAACAAAAUUGAGCUCUCUUCCAUGGCUCGCUCGUCUCGUCUCUGGUUGCUUAGGUAAAUCAGCUCUAACUGGAACCCUAGGUUUUGAAUUUUUCUCGCUAGUGACACAAAUUCGUCAAUCCAAUCCAAAUUCUCGCUUCCGAAUAUGCAGAUCUCUCUUCCUUCAAAUGUAGGAUGAAUUCCAUCAAGCAAGAGAUUGAUAGACCAUCCAUGUUCUUUCCAAAGCUCAUCUUCUCUAGAAACUGAGAAUGGAUAUGCUUUAACACCCCAAAUCAACACCAUAUCCAUGGCAUUCAUGUUGACGAACCUCCCGUUAGAAUCGAUAACAACCAACAUUGCUUCGUUAUCUUUAUAAUGCCAUUCUUGUUUGAAAAAGUUGAGUAUUGUGGAGCUCAUCAACCAUGGUUGCCUUACUGAGAUCCAUGGUAAGGAAUUGGAGUAGAAAUCGAAGAUUUCUUUCUCUUCGUCUGUCCAUUUUUGGGAUGAUGGUAUUGGAACCCAUAUGAUCUCGUAGUUUUGUUCUGUGUUGGUGUUAGAUGGAUGAUCGUAUAGCUGUUGGAGUAGGAAGAAAAGUGGCUCUACUGGUGGCUUUGAUAAUAGCAGUAGUGUUACCUUAUCUUGUACCUCAGUUAUAGAUAUCUGCCAUUGGGUGAAUAAAGAAUAUUCAAUGCUAUUGCAAUUUUGCAAAGAUAAAAGAAUCGGUCUAUGUAUCGUCAUACGGAAUGUCGGAGCUCAUCUUUAUGUAAAGUUAAAGACGAGACAUGAAAGAAACAAUAAGAAGGAACAUGGAAAAAGAAAAAUAGAUAGUUCUUUAUACCUGUCUGGAGUAUUGUUGAAGUGGCAAAUCAUCUUGUAGAGAAAAAAGUAGGUGGAGUACGUCUUGGUUGUCUUGAUGAGUCUCUAUGUUAAUGUUUCUAAGCCUUUGAUUGAUUUCUUCCUCUUUAGAUAUAACAACAGAGGAGCAAUAUCAGAGAUCGAGUUUUGCUUUUAGUAGAAAGUUGUGAUUAUGGAACUUAACAUCAGAAGAUUUGAAAGUUACCUAUUUGUGUGCUGCAAUCUUCUACCUGCUUGUUGAGGCGGGUGUGUAUGUUCAGCAACUGAUAUCCCAAACUAGACAGUUCUCCUGCUGCUCUCCUUGAUUCAAUUGAAAGUUCCGCUGCUGUUUUCCUUGAUUUUUUUGCCUACGUAUUUCAGAGAAUUCCUAGUCAUGAGAAAACUCAAUGUUGACUGCUAAUAUGCUGGAAACAAUUUCUGUGUGUCUGGUUCUUCAUUUUGCAGAGAAGAUAUAAGAAGGGUGAAAAUUUGCACCUGCUGCGUUUGCUUGAAAUAAGGGAUCUGCUGCAUGCAUGUGAGUGCACUUUUGACAACCCGAUAAGUAGUCAGAUAGAUGUUAGACAAGGUUUCUCCCAAAAUGUUGUUGUCUAGCUUCGCUUGUUUAAAUGGAAUUUUUUCAAAUUUGAUGAUGCAUUUGGUUACAUCCACCAUGGCUUUAAUGAGCAAGUUUAGAGACUCUAACCACGGUCUGAACUUGGUUCUCUCAAUAGGCAACUGGUUGAGUUUUGCAAUUGAUGCUGCAACGGGAUCACAGAUGGCCAGAUGAACUGGUAGCAAUAGUCCUCCAUAUGUUGCGGCAAGGACUCCUAGUACUAACACAGCUUUUGCAUCCCAUCUGUAUUCCUUGAGAAGAUCAAACAAAACCAUUGUCCUUUUCCGGAUCUCAUUUUCCCCAGUACAUGGACAAAGCAUCUGCAACCUCAAGAGUUUCACAAUUUCGGGUCUUUCAGAAAGAGUUUAUUUGAGAAGAAAGGAUGAUCAGUUUACCUGAACGGAGAUUCUGAAGAUAGCGUAUGGUAGUGUUUCCUUUGAGUCAAAAACUUCAAUGGUGGUGAUACAAUUCUCUGUCAGAAGCGGUCUAGAAACCUGAAAGUUUAGUGGCAUUGUUAUUGGCCAGAAUCAAGACAACUCUUUGAAGAAUUGGACCCCAAGGGAUGGAUAUAGCUCACAUCAUUUUGCAGAACAAAGCUUAAGAUGGUUUCGACUUCUUGAAGCAGCAUUUCGGAAUCAAGCCAGCGACCGUCUGGAUCAUGGCUACGAAGUAGCUGCUCAACUAUGAUGUCUUCAUUCAGAGCAGAGAUGUCGCGUCGGAAAUUCAUGGUAAAUGGUUGUUGUUCUAAAAAGACUCUACUUUGAAUAUGUAUUUACUAAACACAAAACAGCUUUGUCUCUUUGGUUUGCGUGAUAAAAAUAUUAGUAGGGUCCCUGAAACUAAAGAUUGUUGAGCAAUAUGACUGGAAUCUUAUUCAAAG
rnacentral:lncRNA from 1 species